rnacentral:rRNA from 1 species
GGGGCCUACGGGAGGCAGCAGUGGGGAAUAUUGCACAAUGGGGGAAACCCUGAUGCAGCGACGCCGCUUGCGUGCUGCCGUAUUUCGGUAUGUAAAGCUCUAUCAGCAGGGAAGAUAAUGACGGUACCUGACUAAGAAGCUCCGGCUAAAUACGUGCCAGCAGCCGCGGUAAUACGUAUGGAGCAAGCGUUAUCCGGAUUUACUGGGUGUAAAGGGAGCGCAGACGGCAGGGCAAGUCUGAUGUGAAAGUCCGGGGCUCAACCCCGGGACUGCAUUGGAAACUGUCCGGCUAGAGUGCAGGAGAG